UCCGAACUGGUCUAGUGGUUAGGAUAUUCGCCUCUCAUUAUUGAGAGACAUAGUGCGCGAAUGGCCGUAGAUCUCACUAUCUCCCCAACUUGAAAUCCAUUUAACUAACAUGCUUUAGGGGGUUCGAUUCCCCGGUUCGGAA